rnacentral:lncRNA from 10 species
AGCAGAAGGCCACACUGGCUGCUGUGCUGUUCUGGGCAUAGUCAGCAUGAUGAUUGCUUUGAGAGAUUUAGAAUUGGCAUUUCUUUAGCUGUUGCGCCUUCUUUCACACCAGCUGAACAACAGUUCUUAAAAUGUGGCCCAGAGACUCCUACAACCAUUUCAGGAGGUCUGCAAGCACAAUAGUCUCUCAAGAAUGGCAAAUUGUGCGGAGGAGAUUAAAGAUGGCUGACUAGAGGCAUCUGACAGUCACCUCCUCCAUAAAGAAGAAUCAAAAUAGCGAGUAAAUACUGGAUUUCAAAAGUGAAGUGACAAGAAACACCUAAAAGGAAAGAGAAAGAAGUGAGGCAGUCUGUUUGGCAGGAUCAGCUGGGAGCCCAGAGAAGCUCCCCAACGUGAGAAAAGGCUUGACUAUAAUGUGCUGUGGAGAAUGUCUUUUUGCAUUAUAAAUAUUUGAGAAUCUCUGAGCUUCUUGUAUCCAGAUGUGUAAACAUCCUGCUAGACUCGGGAAGUUUUCCACUAUUAAUAAAACUGGAAUAAAAGUGGACUAAAACUAGCAAUCAAUAAGAGUAACUUUGGAAAUGAUACAAAUACAUGGAAGUUAAACAACGUGCUCCUGAAUAACCACUGGGUCAAUGAAGAAAUUAAGAGAGAAAAUUUUAAAAAUGUAUUGAAACAAAAGAAAAUUGAAACACAGCAUACCCAAAACUAUGGGAUAUAGCAAAAGCAGUGCUAAGAUGGACAUUUGUAGCAGUAAUACCUACAUCAGAAAAAUGGAAGAUUUCAAAUAAACAGUCUAAUGAUGCACCUCAAGGAACUUGAAAAGCAAGAACAAACCACAUCCAAGAUUAGUGGAAGGAAAGAAACGAUAAAGAUCAGAGCAGAACUAAAUAAAAUAGAGACUUAAAAAAACAAUACAGGCCGGUCACUGUG